AUGGAGGAGAAACCUCCUAAACACCCCAAGGUGGCCUGGGAGGAGAGUGGGGCUCCCCAGGAGAGAAAAUCUCCACCGGAGCCCUACGAAGUGACUGAGGUCACCCCACUGCGUGCUGAUGCUGACUGGCUGCCUCUGUAUGAACUGGAUGAGGUGGCCGUAAAUGUCAUCGAAACCUAUGGCAUCAGCAAGGAAAAGGAUCUGGUGCAGAAGAUGCAGUACCUGAACUGUAUUUGCUCACUGUGCAGCGCUGCUGAACAGAAGGGCUUGACAGUGUACCUGGAUAUCUUCUGCUUCCUAAACAAUGUGACAGAGAACAUUGAGGUGAGGGGACAUGGCACCCAGGUACCCUGUAAGAAGGACAGAGCAGGGGGAGAGGGAGGCAGGGAAAUCAUGCACAGACACCAAAGUUCCCCAGAUGAGACUCCAGGUGCUGCUGAGACCUCAGCAGUGGAGGCAGACAGCAGCACCAGUGUGACAGGGUUUGCUGAGGGCCACUGGGGAGACACAGGCCCUACCGGUCAGUGGCAGGUUUUCUGUUGGUGGGUGCUGGCAGCUGCCAGGUGCCAUCCUGAUUUGAUUGUGCUUUGCAGGUUCUGUUGUGUGAGGAGCCCAGGGAUCAGCUGA
rnacentral:lncRNA from 1 species